UGACACAAUGACAUAGAUCGAGUGGCAUUCGAUAAAGUUAAAGUGAAAUGACACUAGAGAUGGUGUGAGGUAAAGAACCAAUGUAUUGUAAAGAAUGAUGAAAAUGACAAUGUUUAAAGUUAAAGUAAUGUGGGGAGUAAAGAACAAGAAGUGCUAGAGGUAGCCAAAAGUAAAGAAUGUAAAGAAUAUAAUUGCUAGAGUUAGCAAGAGUAAUGAAU
rnacentral:lncRNA from 1 species